GACGAACGCUGGCGGCGUGCUUAACACAUGCAAGUCGAGCGGUAAGGCCCUUUCGGGGGUACACGAGCGGCGAACGGGUGAGUAACACGUGGGUGACCUGCCCUCAGCUCUGGGAUAAGCCUGGGAAACCGGGUCUAAUACUGGAUAUGACUCCAUGACGCAUGUUGUGGGGUGGAAAGCCUUGUGCGGCUGAGGAUGGGCCCGCGGCCUAUCAGCUUGUCGGUGGGGUGANGGCCUACCAAGGCGACGACGGGUAGCCGGCCUGAGAGGGCGACCGGCCACACUGGGACUGAGACACGGUCCAGACUCCUACGGGAGGCAGCAGUGAGGAAUCUUGCGCAAUGGGCGAAAGCCUGACGCAGCGACGCCGCGUGGAGGAUGAAGGUCUUCGGAUUGUAAACUCCUGUCGAGCGGGACGAAUGCCGUGAGGGUGAACAACCCUCGCGGUUGAC
rnacentral:rRNA from 1 species